UGGGGAAUUUUACGCAAUGGGGGAAACCCUGACGUAGCGACACCGCGUGAGCGAAGAAGCCUUUUGGGGUGUAAAGCUCUGUCAGCUGGAACGAACACAAUGACGGUACCAGCAGAGGAAGCAUCGGCUAACUACGUGCCAGCAGCCGCGGUAAGACGUAGGAUGCAAGCGUUGUCCGGAUUCAUUGGGCGUAAAGAGUUCGUAGGUGGUCUGUUAAGUUUGGUGUUAAAGAGCGGGGCCCAACCCCGAUAGUGCACUGAAUACUGGCAGACUUGAUUGCGGUAGAGGUAAGUGGAAUUCCAAGUGUAGCGGUGAAAUGCAUAGAUAUUUGGAAGAACACCGGUGGCGUAAGCGACUUACUGGGCCGUAACUGACACUGAGGAACGAAAGCCGGGGUAGCGAAUG
rnacentral:rRNA from 1 species